rnacentral:rRNA from 1 species
UCCAGUACUCCCUGGUUCCCGCUUCUCGUCCCAUCAUCGAAGUUAAGCAACGCUGGGUCCGGUUAGUACUUGCAUGGGUGACUGGCUGUGAAUACCGGAUGUUGCCGGAC